UACGUAGGGGGCAAGCGUUGUCCGGAAUCAUUGGGCGUAAAGCGCGUGUAGGCGGCUCGAUAAGUCUGCUGUGAAAGUCCAGGGCUCAACCCUGGGAUGCCGGUGGAUACUGUCAAGCUCGAGUCCGGAAGAGGCGAGUGGAAUUCCUGGUGUAGCGGUGAAAUGCGCAGAUAUCAGGAGGAACACCAAUGGCGAAGGCAGCUCGCUGGGACGGUACUGACGCUGAGACGCGAAAGCGUGGGGAGCAAACAGG
rnacentral:rRNA from 1 species